AUGGCUAGGGAUAGUGUGUGUGAGAUCUGUGGGAUAUGGGAUGAAGAUGAGCACCACGCUGUUAUCGCUUUCACCAGAAGCUUGGCUCUCCGACAAGGACUAAGACCCUACUGGCAGUUGCCAAAGGAAUUUGAUCUCACAUGCACGGGCGAGGACUGGGCUCUAUUCCCAUCCAAACCCUACACGCCGACCAUCUCUGAACCUAGGGUGUGGAGAGGCCCUCCCCCGGACAGCGUUAAGUUAAACACGGACGUGGCCUUCCUUGCGGAAACGGGUGAAGCAUGGGGCGGGGCAGUUGCCAGAGACCAUAAGGGCCAUAUUUUCUUAUCGGUGGGAAGAAAGUUACCCUAUUGCAGCUCUGUAGAAGAGGCAAAAGCUACGGCUGCAGAGAUGGGGUUAAAGGAAUUCGCCAAGUAUUUCAAUGGGAAUCUAGUCCUAGAGACGGAUUGCGCGAGCCUAGCUCGGGACCUGAAUGGAAAGGAGAAAUGCAGAACAGCUUGUCAUGCCAAUAUUUCUGAUAUCAAAGGGCUCCUCCAGGGCUUCUUGUGA
rnacentral:rRNA from 1 species